UACGUAGGGGGCAAGCGUUGUCCGGAAUCAUUGGGCGUAAAGAGCGUGUAGGCGGCCCGGUAAGUCCGUUGUGAAAGUCCAGGGCUCAACCCUGGAAUGCCGAUGGAUACUGCCGGGCUAGAGUUCGGAAGAGGCGAGUGGAAUUCCUGGUGUAGCGGUGGAAUGCGCAGAUAUCAGGAGGAACACCAAUAGCGAAGGCAGCUCGCUGGGACGGUACUGACGCUAAGGCGCGAAAGCGUGGGGAGCGAACAGG
rnacentral:rRNA from 1 species